UCAAAGGAUUAAGCCCAUGCCAUGUUUUAAAGUAUAAAAUAGGAAUAACAGUGGAAAAUGGGGAAAUGGCUUCAAUUAAAAACAGUUAAUAGUUUUAUUUGGAUGGAUUGAAGGUCUUACCAAGGGAUAACCCGUGGGUAAUUUCUAGAGGCUAAUACAUUGCAUUUCAGGCCCUGACCUUACGGAAGGGGCUGUAUUUUAUUCAGAUAUGAAAGUCCAAUAUUCCCGCAAAGGUCCUAUUGAUGGUGAAAUCAAUAGUAACGUGAUCGGGAUCCCGCAACUGGGGGAUAGAUCAUUUCAAGUCUUCUGCCCCUAUCAGCUUUUCGAUGGUAGUGUAUUGGACUUACCAUGGGCAGUAAACGGGUAACGGAGAAUUUAGGGUUUCGGUUCCGGGAGAGGGAGACCUGAGAAAACGGCUACCACAUUUAAGGACAGGCAGCAGGCGCGUAAAUUACCCAAUGCAGAUUCUGCGAGGUAGUGACAAUACAUAACAACCUGGGGUCUCACGACUUACGGGAGAGCAAUGAGAACAAUUUAAAAACCUUAACGAGGAACAAGUGGAGGGCAAGUCUGGUGCCAGCAGACGCGGUAAUUCCAGCUCCACUAGCGUAUAUUAAAGUCGUUGCAGUUAAAAAGCUCGUAGUUGAACUUCUUGUUGUGUUCUAGUGGCCGGUCUUCGAUCGCCAUAGGUGCAGCCAUCCGUCUGCAAACUUUUACAUCGUUACCUGCUUGGUUUAAGGGAGCAGGCAUUUUACUAGAAAAAAUGAGAGUGUUUAAGGCAGGCACAACGUCGCUCAAUACAUAAGCAUGGAAUAAUGGAAUAUGACGCUUAGUCCAUUAGCUUGGUGAUUGGACUUGCGUAAUGAUUGAUACG
rnacentral:rRNA from 1 species